UACGUAGGGUGCGAGCGUUAAUCGGAAUUACUGGGCGUAAAGCGUGCGUAGGCGGUUGGCAAAGUCAGCUGUGAAAGCCCCGGGCUUAACCUGGGAAUGGCAUUGAGGACUGCACGGCUAGAGUGUGGCAGAGGGGGGUGGAAUUCCGCGUGUAGCAGUGAAAUGCGUAGAGAUGCGGAGGAACACCGAUGGCGAAGGUAGCCCCCUGGGCUAACACUGACACUCAUGCACGAAAGCGUGGGGAGCAAACAGG
rnacentral:rRNA from 1 species